CCUACGGGAGUCUGCAGUGGGGAAUAUUGGACAAUGGGGGCAACCCUGAUCCAGCCAUGCCGCGUGUGUGAAGAAGGCCCUCGGGUUGUAAAGCACUUUCAGUGAGGAAGAACGCCUGGUGGUUAAUACCCAUCAGGAAAGACAUCACUCACAGAAGAAGCACCGGCUAACUCCGUGCCAGCAGCCGCGGUAAUACGGAGGGUGCGAGCGUUAAUCGGAAUUACUGGGCGUAAAGCGCGCGUAGGUGGCUUGAUAAGCCGGUUGUGAAAGCCCCGGGCUCAACCUGGGAACGGCAUCCGGAACUGUCAAGCUAGAGUGCAGGAGAGGAAGGUAGAAUUCCCGGUGUAGCGGUGAAAUGCGUAGAGAUCGGGAGGAAUACCAGUGGCGAAGGCGGCCUUCUGGACUGACACUGACACUGAGGUGCGAAAGCGUGGGUAGCAAACAGGAUUAGAUACCCCAGUAGUC
rnacentral:rRNA from 1 species